GAUCUUGGACCAAAAUCUCUCUCAAAAGUGAGUUGUGUGGUAUUCAUCCAAUCAUGCAAUGCAUGUCUUUUAUUCAUUACUUUUAUUACAUAUUACCACAUUCACAUUUAGGAAUGGGUCUGCAUUCUCAAUGCUUAUCACAAGUCACAUUCUCUUCAAGGAAUAGAUCAUAAUCAACGAUGUGCUUCAUACCAAUUUGAUGAUAAACAUUGCCUUCACAUUUUGAAGGACUAUUUUGAGAACCCUUGUUGUUCUCCUUUUAUAAUUAUUGUGAUUAUUAUUAUUAUUAUUUGGAACGCUCGCAUUCAUUGUUCAACCAUUUGUCUUCAUUUAGACUUAUUAUGCACUAUUAUCACAUUCACUUCAAAAAUAGCGCUAAUCAAGCGGAACAAUCUUCAUGCCUUUUCAUGAAAAAUAUAUUAUUUUUCUGUAGUCAUCAUUAUACCAUCAACAUGGUACAUUGAGACUCAAACCCAAUGUCUUACCAAUAUAAAGAUAUUUUAGGCCAUAAUAAAUCGGGACUCAAACUCAACUCCUAUCAUUAUGGAGCAUCAAGACUUGAUCCCGAUGUCUUACCCUCAAUCAAUGGCAUAAUAGGCUAAACAAUAUUGAGAUUCACUCUCAAGCCUUAAUUUCAAUCACAUGCCAAGAAAGUUGUACACAACUAAUUUGCAACUUAGCAAAUCAAAUUUAUUUUCUUAAAUAAGUAUACAAAUCUCCAAUCAUCGUAAAGUUUUAUCAAUUGUUUGUAGCAUCUAUAUAAAAUAUAAUCAUUUUCUUACAUAAGUGUACAAAUCUCAAAUCAUCGUAAAGCUUUAUCAAUUAUUUAUAGCAUCAUAUGAAAUAUAACCGUUAGUAGUCAGAAAAUUUCUUUUAAAUUCGAUUAGAGUUUAAAUGGAUCACAAAAUAAUUGUCAUAAUAUUUAUUGAGCUUUUCUAAAAUAUAUUGUUAUUUUCGGCAUGUAUCCAACCUAUUGAAUUUGAUUUAAUGCCAUGACUUUCC
rnacentral:lncRNA from 1 species